rnacentral:lncRNA from 1 species
CCCCCAACGAGUAAGCUCAAGACAACAUACAAGGCAUCCAGGCCCAACCUGUUUAUGUAAUUUGGUUGGUCAGUUUGCUGAAUAGAAUUUGUUAAAGUAGAGUUUAUUAGAGGUAGAUCUCUUUCAUGAAUCUAUUCCUCCGGCAGCUCAUUCUGCAUUUACGGUUGUUAACCUUUCAAGUUUUGAAGAUUAUGUAUUCUGCUGUCUGUUUUCUUUUUGAAUUUUGUGUUUAUUCGAUGUUAUAAUGGAGACUUUUUGGGGCCUUAUAUUGUCAUUGUCAAAUGAUUAUGGAACUUCAUACGCUUUUGAAAUUGAUGCUCUAUCAAACUUUUGAAGAUCAUGUGCUUGGAAAAUGGUGCUUCUCGUAGUGAUCUCGAUUAUGGUGGAGCACUUUCAGGCUCUAGUUUUCUUUUGGCCGGCGCUUGUUUUCAGCCUCGUGACAUUAUCCUAUCGCAUUCAACUGUUUUGUGAUCCGUCAACACCAAACCUUUGCAAUGAGAGAUAGCAACGUCUUCCAUCUAAUAUUUUGUUGUUAGCAAUGGGGCGCAGAGCACUGGAAAUGAUUCUCAUUUUAGCAUUUCGAAGCAAUGAGACGCAAACCUCUAAACUGGAACAGCACAGCUGCUACCCUAAGACACUGGAUGAUGCUAAAAGUUUAGUUAGUUAGAGGUGGUACUUUGAUAAUGGUCAACAGCUUGGCAACUUGUCAAACAUGCAUACGAUCUCCGGCAAGGAUCCAAACUGACACAACUUUUACCUCAAACGCCUAGUGCAAUGUCUCCUUUUCAAGGGCAAAUUUGUAAUUAUACCAUUACAAUAAAUAGUAUUUUGUAUCUUGAUCAACAAUAUCAUCCUUACAAAAUUUAGAAGGGGUUUAAGAUUAUGGUAGUAUUUGCUUUUUAAAAUAUUUUUUGUUUGGAAAUACAUUAAAUUUUUUUUUUACAUUAUCCCAUUAAAAAAAUAAAAAAAAAUUUAAAACAAAAAAAAUAUUUAAUUUUUUUAAAAUACUAUUUCAAACACAUUUCCAAACAUAUUAUUUUUAAUUUAGAAAAUUUCAAAGAGAACGGAUACCAAAUAUAAGAUUGGCUUUAGAUGGGCUGGCUGUUUGAUAUUCUCCACUUGCAUUGAGUUGGGCUCCUGCUGGUAUAACGAGACCUGGAGCUGGGUCUCUGGAAAUGCAAGCGACAAGACUUGAUGAGGAAAUAUAGGGCUGGGCCAAGUAGAGAACAGUUCAGGGCUCAGAGCUCACCCAAAUCGCUGCAAGGAAACUAGGGUUUUAAACCCUCACUUAUAAUACUUCUCCAAAACCUAGACUCAGGGAGAACAGGGUGAACGUUUGAGGAACCCGGCCGCUUCUCUUUCAAGCACAUCACAAAAUGGUUGUCUUCAGGGUAUGUUCCUCAGACUUGCUCAAUCUGCUACUUUUCCUGGAUCUAAAUGACAUGAUUCUUAAUUCUUUUCGUGAUUGUGUUGCAAACAGUUUCACCAGUACCAAGUGGUCGGGAGAGCACUCCCAACCGAGAACGAUGAGCAUCCCAAGAUCUACCGCAUGAAACUUUGGGCCACUAACGAGGUCCGUUCAAAAUCAAAGUUCUGGUAUGUAUCGUCACUUCACUUACUCAAUAAUCUAUCUUUUGCUGGUUUUCGAGUAUAUAUACAUGUGUGUGUGUGUAUCUAUAUAUAUGUAUGUAUGCGCGCGCGCGCUCAUUCUCUUAUGAUAUGAUGAUUGUCAUGUUUUAGGUACUUCUUGAGGAAGCUUAAGAAGGUCAAGAAAAGCAAUGGACAAAUUCUUGCCAUCAAUGAGGUAUGUGUGAUCUGGCAUGCAUGCUUUGUAGAGCAUCUGUUGAUAUUGUCUUGCAACUGGAUUAAUUAUAUAAUCUGGGAGGUUGUCUUGGUCUUGCUGCUACUGUCUUAAUGCAGUUGUAUAUCUAAUAUUUGGUAUUAGGUCAAUUUAUUAGUUAUGACUAAUGGUAUUUGAGGGCUUCUUGCUCUUUGUUUUCUCUCUAUCCUACUGUAUGUUCUCUUCUCGCUCUCCAUCUCUCCAUCUUCUCGCUCUCUAUCCUUCUGCUCUUUAAUUGAGGGAAAAUCACAAUUAGCUGGUUAAUUCCACUCACAGGAAUUGAGUUUCUGUUGACAAUCCUUUUCAUUACUUUUUUCUUAUUACAAUUCUAGUGCUAUAUUUAGACCGAUCCUUGAAAGGAAAUGUUAGCAACAUUUGUGUUGCUUCUAAUUGAGUUUUCCCAUGGAAGAACAAGAAUCACAGGCUUUUCUGCUUUUGGGUUGUGCAUUUUUGUUCCAAGCAUUUUUAUAUUAUGAAUUUCUGAUUGUAGAUUUUUGAGAAGAAUCCUACCAAGAUCAAGAACUUUGGAAUAUGGCUGCGAUACCAGAGCAGAACAGGUUAUCACAACAUGUACAAGGAAUACAGAGACACCACUCUGAAUGGUGCUGUUGAGCAGAUGUACACUGAGAUGGCAUCUCGCCACAGGGUUAGGUUUCCUUGCAUCCAGAUCAUUAAGACUGCUACCAUCCCUGCUAAGCUUUGCAAGAGAGAGAGCACCAAGCAGUUCCACAAUUCCAAAAUCAAGUUCCCAUUGGUGUUCAAGAAGGUUAGACCCCCAACGAGGAAGCUCAAGACAACAUACAAGGCAUCCAGGCCCAACCUGUUUAUGUAAUUUGGUUGGUCAGUUUGCUGAAUAGAAUUGUUAAAGUAGAGUUUAUUAGAGCUAGAUCACUUUUAUGGAUCUUUUGCCCCGGGAGCUCAUUCUGCAUUUACUGUUGUUAACCUUUCAAGUUUUGAAGAUUAUGUAUUUUGCUAAGUUGGCUGUUUUCUUUUUGAAUUUUGUGCUUAUUCGAUGUUAUAAUGGAAACUUUUCGGUGCCUU